rnacentral:rRNA from 1 species
GGUAUUGAUCAUGGAUCAGGACGAACGCUGGCGGGAAUGCUUAUCGCAUGCGUGUCGAGCGAGAAACCAGCCUUUGAUUCCUUCGGGAUGAUAAGGCCGGUAGAAAGUGGACGACCGGGUGAGUAACGCAUGGGUAAUCUACCCUGUAUGUGGGGGAUAACCCUCCGAAAGGAGGGCUAAUGCCGCAUAACAUCUUCCCUUCAUAAGAAGGAGAGAUUAAAGAUGGCCUCUUUAUAUGCUAUCACUUCAGGAUGAGUCCGCGUCCUAUUAGUUAGUUGGUAGGGUAAUGGCCUACCAAGACCACAAUGGGUAGCCGGUCUGAGAGGAUGUACGGCCACACUGGGACUGAGAUACGGCCCAGACUCCUACGGGAGGCAGC